UCCGAGUUGACCCCGGCAGUCUCCCAUGAGUCCCCGGCAUAACCCGCUGGCAACAUAGGACAAGGGUUGCGCUCGUUGCGGGACUUAACCCAACAUCUCACGACACGAGCUGACGACAACCAUGCACCACCUGUCACUCUGUCCCCGAAGGGAACACCACAUCUCUGUGGCUGUCAGGGGAUGUUAAGCCCAGGUAAGGUUCUGCGCGUUGCUUCGAAUUAAACCACAUACUCCACCGCUUGUGCGGGCCCCCGUCAAUUCCUUUGAGUUUUAGUCUUGCGACCGUACUCCCCAGGCGGGUUACUUAAUGCGUGAGCUACGGUACCCAGGAGGUUAACAUCCCGGACACCUAGUAACCAUCGUUUAUGGCGUGGACUAC
rnacentral:misc_RNA from 1 species